CCUGCCCUGGGUUCUCUCUGAGGCCACGCUGUGAGGAUAGGAAAAUUUCCUAACUUAGAUUUACACAAAAGAAAACCCAAGUGCCUACAAUCUCCUCCUCAACCAAGUUCUGUCUCCAGAGAUGCAAAAGGUGAAUCUUUUCAGUUGUUGAGCAGGGCAAAACAUGCAACUUGACACCCAUUAGAUACUAAGUGACCAUGUCUAUUUGAUGAAUGGGAGUAGGCCAUUAGCAAUGUAGUAAUAAAUACCAACCUGCUCUGGGGAGGGGACAGAAGCAAAACCACCGGUGGAAAAGGGUCACCAGAUGGCAAGUCUUGCCAAAGCUUGUAAGUGGCCACUGCAGAUUCCACUCCCAGACAUUAUGUAUCUUAGGAUCCCUAUACUUAUGGAUCUGGGGCCUGUGCCACCUGUGGGUAUGUUCCUUUCACUGCAAAGAUGGCCCAUGUUCCAAUGAUGGCUAUGUGAUAGGAGCUCUUCUAUUUUUUUCAUGUAAAACCAACUAUGACUCAUCAUCCUGGCUACAAUGGUUUCACCUUAAACCAGCUGUUUGCAACAUCUCAGGUUGAAAAAUGACUCAUGUCUCCUUCUACCAUUUUGUGUUUACCAAAUUAUCUUUCAUGAUUGUUCCUGUUUUUGUAACAAAAAGCACACCUGCUAUGUAAGAAGUGUCCCUAGAAGGCUCAGAGCUUGGACCCUGAAGAUCCUUUGCUAUCCUUUAGGCCUCCAGUCUAGGCCUGUGCAUGCAGAUGGGCUAUGAGGAAAGCAGUUCCCAAUGUUGCUUUGGUAUUUUUUUUUUUUCCUUAAGAUAUUAGGGGUAGAACUCAUGGUCUCCUGCAUUCUAGGCAGGGCUCUAGGACUUGGCUAUAAUCCAUGCCCUUUUUAUUUUGAUACAGUCUCCCUAAAUAGCUCAGGCUGGCUUCAAACUUAUGAUCCUUCUGCUGGGAUUAUGGUGUUCACCACCACUCAUAUUAUGGAUUCUCUUAAAAUCUGAUUCCUCAUGCUCAUUGUGGCCUCAAGCUGCACUGUAUAGAACCACCAGCCCGUCAAAAAACCAGUGGUUUAAGUGCUAAUCAAAGCCAGGUGCAACUGUCAGGCCUCAGUGCUGCCCAUUUUCUUGCUGGCUGGCAGAAGAUCCUUUGUAUCCAUCCCUGGCAUUGUCCCUAUUCUAAAGGCAUGCAUCUAGUUUAUGUCCCAGUAAGUCUCUACCUGAAAUCACAGCUUUGUUUUCACGUGGGAACAGUCCUAUACCCAAAGGCCACUGCAACAUAGCAAGGCUUAUAAUUUAGCUUUUCUUUGGAAGUGAUAUUUCAAGCAUGUAGUUAAAGUUGGUGACAUGGGCUAGUCCCUAGGGUCCUCCCUAUUCAUUGCCCAGUACAGUUAUCAGGCCAAGCCAAA
rnacentral:lncRNA from 1 species